UUACGGUCACAUCACGUUGAAAGACUGGUUCCCGUACGAUCACCGAAGUUAAGCAACCUCGAACCUGGUCAGUACCUAAAUGGUUUACUGCUUUGGAAUACCAGGUGU